CCUANGGGUGGCAUCAGUGGGGAAUAUUGGACAAUGGGCGCAAGCCUGAUCCAGCCAUGCCGCGUGUGUGAAGAAGGCCUUCGGGUUGUAAAGCACUUUUGUUGGGGAAGAAAAGCCAUGGGUUAAUACCCUGUGGUUCUGACGGUACCCAAAGAAUAAGCACCGGCUAACUUCGUGCCAGCAGCCGCGGUAAUACGAAGGGUGCAAGCGUUACUCGGAAUUACUGGGCGUAAAGCGUGCGUAGGUGGUGAGUUAAGUCUGUCGUGAAAGCCCCGGGCUCAACCUGGGAAUGGCGAUGGAUACUGGCUCGCUAGAGUGCGGUAGAGGAGAGUGGAAUUCCCGGUGUAGCAGUGAAAUGCGUAGAGAUCGGGAGGAACAUCAGUUGCGAAGGCGGCUCUCUGGACCAGCACUGACACUGAGGCACGAAAGCGUGGGGAGCAAACAGGAUUAGAUACCCCANUANUC
rnacentral:rRNA from 1 species